UUUUUAUGGAGAGUUUGAUCCUGGCUCAGAGUGAACGCUGGCGGCGUGCCUAAUACAUGCAAGUCGAACGAUGAAGCUUCUAGCUUGCUAGAAG
rnacentral:rRNA from 1 species